GGCCGGUUAGCUCAGUAGGUUGAGCGUGGCGCUAACAAAGCUAAGGUUGCGGGUUCGAUUCCCAUUCGGUCC
rnacentral:tRNA from 1 species